rnacentral:misc_RNA from 1 species
UUGAUUGCGAAUGGUUGCCUUCUGUGCUGGCCAGCUCUGGCAAGUGCACGUCGGUGGCUUUCAUCCAAUACCCUGUGCACCUUUGGCCUUUGCUCGCUUCGGCUGGCAGAGGAAUUUACACACACUCGAAUGUAAUGAAAUUUAUUGUCGUGCGCAAGCACUAAUGUA